AGUUUGUAUCCUGGCUCAGGAUGAACGCUGGCGGCGGUGCUUAACACAUGCAAGUCGAACGGAGCACCCCUGAAGGAGUUUUCGGACAACGAGGGAAUGCUUAGUGGCGACGGGUGAGUAACGCGUGAGUAACCUGCCUUGGAUGGGGAAUAACAGAUGGAAACAAUCUGCUAAUACCGCAUGAAGCAGUUGGGCCGCAUGGCUCUGACUGCCAAAGAUUUAUCGCUCUGAGAUGGACUCGCGUCUGAUUAGCUAGUUGGCGGGGCAACGGCCCACCAAGGCGACGAUCAGUAGCCGGACUGAGAGGUUGGCCGGCCACAUUGGGACUGAGACACGGCCCAGACUCCUACGGGAGGCAGCAGUGGGGAAUAUUGGGCAAUGGGCGCAAGCCUGACCCAGCAACGCCGCGUGAAGGAAGGAGGCGUUUCGGGUUGUAAACUUCUUUUCUCAGGGACGAAGAAAGUGACGGUACCUGAGGAAUAAGCCACGGCUAACUACGUG
rnacentral:rRNA from 1 species